AUCUCAUGGGAGUGAUUAAAGGCUGAAUUAUCUCAUCCGUAAUUGUAUGUUUUACGGUUCUACAAUCUCGAAAUCGCAUAAUCUCACAGUUGUUCGAUAGUCUUCUAUAUAAGCAACCAAAGUUCUAAGGAUCAAAAAAAUCAAUCAAUCCUUCUCAGAUAAUUCGUUGCUGUUCAUAUUAUUUUCUGAAUCUGACUUAAAUGUUAGAGAAUCUUUAUCGGAACAAAAAUCUCUGAUUUGGUAG
rnacentral:lncRNA from 1 species